AAAAUGAUGGUUACAUCUUGACUGUGGAGGAAAAAUAGAGUAAAUAUAGAGGUAUGUAAUGUAAGCAGUGAAAGCGCAGAAGUUAGGGCUAAACCUCAGUUAAUGUAUAGGUGAAGUAAAUAUUUUAAGUGAAGUUAGGGCUAGCUAUGGUUGGUGUAGAUGUGAGUAAGGUGAAUAUUGUUAGUGGAGACAGUAGGGUCUGUCUUUGUUUGUGUAGAAGUGUGCAAGGUAAGCAUUGAAAAUGAGGCAGGUAGGAUUGUUUUUGAUUAGUACAGAGGUGUGUAAGGUAAAAAGGAGAAGUACUGCCUUUGAAUGUCUUUAUAUGUAAUGAAGUAUAGUCAAGAUUGGAGAGAUACCUUUAUGGCAAACCAUGAUAGGGUAUAUAAAGCAGGGCUACUCUGGGUAGUACAGAGAUGUUUAGUAAAUGUUGGUAGAACAAGCAGGGUAAGGUUGGCACCGUGUGUAUAAUAAAGUGUACAGUAUUUAUAGGAAACUAAAAUGGUGGUGGCAGAAGUGAUAGUAAGAUUGAUAACGACUAUCCUUGCUGUAUAAUUACUGUCACAGUAAAUGGGAAGAGGAAUAUAUUUUACUUUGUCUAAGCCAAAUUUCCUAAUUUCAGUUCUGUAAAAUCUCCAAACAUGGUUUUAUUCAUUAGAACUAUAAUAUUAGCUGUGGUACCUUUGAAACUUGUAUUAGCUAUGUGCUUCUUUGAAACACGUUUUCUAUAUGUUUUAUAUAUGUGGUGUGUGGCUGGGUGUGACUAAGUGAAAAAUCUGAAGUAAAUUUUAUCCCUAAAAUACUGCUUUUUGACAAUCUAAAUUUAGUUGUUUCCACUGGUAACAUAUAUAUAAUUUAUAUUGUCUUGUAAUUCUUCGGUUGAACAUAGCUGCAUAUAUGUAUAUGUGUGUGUGUGUGUGUGUGUGUCUGUGUGAUUUUUGUAUUUGUUGAUGAGAGAAAGAGAGAAACAAACAGACAGGGGAAGAUCAGACGAAUCUGUUGUCAUUUAAAAAAUGAAAUUUUUUUUUACCAAGAUUUGACUCAGGGGAUGGCAGAGAAAAUAGAGUAAAAAACUGCUGGAAUUUGGCAUUUAUUUUCAGAACUUUUCUUCUCUCUCUCUCUCUCUCUCUCUUAAAAAAGAGAGAGGGAGAGAAGUAAGAAAGAGAGAGGGAGAGAG
rnacentral:lncRNA from 1 species